GCUUCUUCCUUUGUAGGAGUGACUUACAGGACAGUUUUGUAUUGCUAAAGCAAAACAGAAGCAGACGUCCCUCCAUAUGUAAGACUGUAAUUGUAAGUGCUGUUUGAUCAAAUUUAUACUGCCUUAGAGACCAUUAGAUGUGUCUUUGUUCAUAUAUCAACUAUUGUGACUCUGCCGUGACUCAUCAUUUGUGAUUACUUGACGAUAAAACAACUUUACUUUCCUUGUCAACAGAUCAGCGUCCACAAGGGGGCACAACACAAUUCAAUUACAGCUAAAUGUCACGCUGACCAAUCCGGUCCCUUAAGAGCUGGAGGAUGCAGCUGCAUGCAUGUUGGCAGCGGCUGGAUUUGAUCAGUCUUCUGGAAGAGGAGCAGUGAUUAAUGAGGAAAUCAAUAACAUGAUAAUCUAAGCCAAGGAGGGGGAGGGGAGCAAUAUCAAUGUAUCCAGAUCCCAUUUAGACUGAAGUGUUACAAAUACAGCCUCUGAGAGAUAUUUUUUAAUCAUAUUUGAGCACUUGAGUUUGAUUAUUUUCUGUUUGUUGCAGUGUAAUUUAUGUUUUAUUUUAUGUACAAGCUGCACCAAACUAAUCCUCCUCAGAAGGAUGAAGAAAAUGAUUAAAAUGGAACUGAAACAAA